AUUGAACGCUGGCGGCAGGCCUAACACAUGCAAGUCGAGCGGAUGAAGGGAGCUUGCUCCUGGAUUCAGCGGCGGACGGGUGAGUAAUGCCUAGGAAUCUGCCUGGUAGUGGGGGAUAACGUCCGGAAACGGGCGCUAAUACCGCAUACGCCCUGAGGGAGAAAGUGGGGGAUCUUCGGACCUCACGCUAUCAGAUGAGCCUAGGUCGGAUUAGCUAGUUGGUGGGGUAAAGGCCUACCAAGGCGACGAUCCGUAACUGGUCUGAGAGGAUGAUCAGUCACACUGGAACUGAGACACGGUCCAGACUCCUACGGGAGGCAGCAGUGGGGAAUAUUGGACAAUGGGCGAAAGCCUGAUCCAGCCAUGCUGCGUGUGUGAAGAAGGUCUUCGGAUUGUAAAGCACUUUAAGUUGGGAGGAAGGGCAGUAAGUUAAUACCUUGCUGUUUUGACGUUACCAACAGAAUAAGCACCGGCUAACUUCGUG
rnacentral:rRNA from 1 species